rnacentral:misc_RNA from 1 species
CGAAUUAAAUUUUUUAUCUUCAAUAUUUAAUAAGUUGUAGCAUUUAAAUUUUCUAUGAUAAAUAUAUUUUUAUACAGAUUUUUGACACUUCUUGUUUUAAUUUUAAAUGAUGUUUUAUCUUUGAAAAGUUUAUAUAAACUUUUCAAAGAUAAAACAUCAUUUAAAAUUAAAACAAGAAGUGUCAAAAAUCUGUAUAAAAAUAUAUUUAUCAUAGAAAAUUUAAAUGCUACAACUUAUUAAAUAUUGAAGAUAAAAAAUUUAAUUCGUAGAAGAUGUUAAAAGUAAAAUCUAUAAUCCCUAUGGCUAAUGCAUGAGGGCACUAAGUUUCUAUAUUAGGAGGCGGUGAACAGGGCAGCACUAUAUCUAGCGAAAUGUUUGAAAUUGUCUUUUCAUUUAAGAACCUAGUUUAUUCCUUGUAGAAGGGAUAACCUUGUUCCACACCCCAUAGGACAAAAUUCACAAUUUUUCAUUCCACAAGUACCCUUUAUUCCAAAAGAAUUAAAGAGGCUUUGAACAUUUGAAUGAAUUUUUUUACUAAUUUUUAUUGAUGCUAAAAUAAACAGCAUAAACUAAGAAAAAACAUGAAAAUGUUAUAUAAACUUUUAAAAAAUAAAACAUCAUUUAAAACUAAAUAAAAUGACAGUAAUCUGUAUAAAAAUAUAUUUAUAAUAAAAAAUUUAAAUGC